rnacentral:rRNA from 1 species
CAAUAGCGUAUAUUAAAGUUGUUGCAGUUAAAAAGCUCGUAGUUGGACCUUGGACCUGGACAGGCGGUCCGCCUCACGGCGUGUACUGUCUUGCUGGGUCUUUCCUCUUGGUGAUCUGUUGUUUCGGCAGCAGGGAACCAGGACUUUUACUUUGAAAAAAUUAGAGUGUUCAAAGCAGGCUCGACGCCGGAAUAUACUAGCAUGGAAUAAUAAAAUAGGACGUGCGGUUCUAUUUUGUUGGUUUUUGGAAUCGCCGUAAUGAUUAAUAGGGACAGUCGGGGGCAUUAGUACUCACAUGCUAGAGGUGAAAUUCUUGGAUUUUGUGAAGACUAACUUCUGCGAAAGCAUUUGCCAAGGAUGUUUUCAUUAA